rnacentral:rRNA from 1 species
AGCAGCCGCGGUAAUUCCAGCUCCAAUAGCGUAUAUUAAUGUUGCUGCAGUUAAAAAGCUCGUAGUUGGAUUUCUGGCUUGGCGCGCUUGGCCCGCCGCGGUUACGCGUGUGAGUGCCGAGCUGCGCCUGCCAUCCUUCUAGUGAACUACUGUGCCCUUCAUUGGGUGUGGUAGGUAGCUAGAUCUUUUACUUUGAAAAAAU